GACGAACGCUGGCGGCGUGCUUAACACAUGCAAGUCGAGCGGUAAGGCCCUUUCGGGGUACGACGAGCGGCGAACGGGUGAGCAACACGUGGGUGACCUGCCCUCCAGCUCUGGGAUAAGCCUGGGAAACUGGGUCUAAUACUGGAUAUGACUCCACGGUGCAUGUCGUGGGGUGGAAAGCCUUGUGCGGCUGAGGAUGGGCCCGCGGCCUAUCAGCUUGUUGGUGGGGUGAUGGCCUACCAAGGCGACGACGGGUAGCCGGCCUGAGAGGGCGACCGGCCACACUGGGACUGAGACACGGCCCAGACUCCUACGGGAGGCAGCAGUGGGGAAUCUUGCGCAAUGGGCGAAAGCCUGACGCAGCGACGCCGCGUGAGGGAUGACGGCCUGGUUGUAACUACUUC
rnacentral:rRNA from 1 species